GGUUGUGAGGGCAGUCUGGUUGUGACAUCUGUCACCCUCCUGAUCACCAAAGUUGACUCAGCUGAUAUGGCUGGCUAGGCAGGUGUCUCCUUCCUCCUCCACUGCUCCACGUGUGUCCCUCCAAAGCUGUGAGCCCAAAGAGGACAACUUUCCCUGACGGAGGAGGCCCGUUCUUCAGUCAAGGGUAUAUAAGUAGCUGUGCUCAUCUGCUGGAACCUCCAAACCAGCUUUCAAGAUCCAUUCAUAGGAAAACAGGGUAGUCAGGCUUCCAAGACUCCAGACACAUCCAAAUGAGGCGCCACAUGUGGCAGUCUGCCUUUCUUU
rnacentral:snRNA from 1 species